rfam:Myotis lucifugus cont2.57348, whole genome shotgun sequence.
GCCGGUGUGGCUCAGUGGAUAGGGCGUCAGGCCGGGGACUGAAGGGUUUCGGGUUCGAUUCCGAUCAAGGGCA